AACGCGAAGAACCUUACCUGGGCUCGAAAUGUGCAUGAAUCCGGCAGAAACGUCGGCGUCUCGCAAGAGACAUGUAUAUAGGUGCUGCAUGGCUGUCGUCAGCUCGUGUCGUGAGAUGUUGGGUUAAGUCCCGCAACGAGCGCAACCCUUAUCCCUAGUUGCCAUCGGGUCAAGCCGGGCACUCUAGUGAAACCGCCCAGGAUAACUGGGAGGAAGGUGGGGAUGACGUCAAGUCCUCAUGGCCUUUAUGUCCAGGGCUACACACGUGCUACAAUGGUCGGUACAAACCGUCGCAAACCCGCGAGGGGGAGCUAAUCGGAAAAAGCCGGCCUCAGUUCGGAUUGGAGUCUGCAACCCGACUCCAUGAAGCUGGAAUCGCUAGUAAUCGCGGAUCAGAACGCCGCGGUGAAUACGUUCCCGGGCCUUGUACACACCGCGCAUA
rnacentral:rRNA from 1 species